rnacentral:rRNA from 1 species
AAAGAUUAAGCCAUGCAUGUCUAAGUAUAAGCAACUAUACGGUGAAACUGCGAAUGGCUCAUUAAAUCAGUUAUCGUUUAUUUGAUAGUACCUUACUACAUGGAUAACCGUGGUAAUUCUAGAGCUAAUACAUGCUAAAAACCUCGACUUCGGAAGGGGUGUAUUUAUUAGAUAAAAAACCAAUGCCCUUCGGGGCUCCUUGGUGAAUCAUAAUAACUUAACGAAUCGCAUGGCCUUGCGCCGGCGAUGGUUCAUUCAAAUUUCUGCCCUAUCAACUUUCGA